GACGAACGCUGGCGGCGUGCUUAACACAUGCAAGUCGAACGGAAAGGCCCUGCUUUUGUGGGGUGCUCGAGUGGCGAACGGGUGAGUAACACGUGAGUAACCUGCCCUUGACUUUGGGAUAACUUCAGGAAACUGGGGCUAAUACCGGAUAGGAGCUCCUGCUGCAUGGUGGGGGUUGGAAAGUUUCGGCGGUUGGGGAUGGACUCGCGGCUUAUCAGCUUGUUGGUGGGGUAGUGGCUUACCAAGGCUUUGACGGGUAGCCGGCCUGAGAGGGUGACCGGCCACAUUGGUACUGAGAUACGGCCCAGACUCCUACGGGAGGCAGCAGUGGGGAAUAUUGCACAAUGGGCGGAAGCCUGAUGCAGCAACGCUGCGUGCGGGAUGACGGCCUUCGUGUUGUAAACCGCUUUCGCCUGUGACGAAGCGUGAGUGACGGUAAUGGGUAAAGAAGCACCGGCUAACUACGUG
rnacentral:rRNA from 1 species